rnacentral:rRNA from 1 species
AGUGAACGCUGGCGGUAGGCCUAACACAUGCAAGUCGAACGGCAGCACAGUAAGAGCUUGCUCUUACGGGUGGCGAGUGGCGGACGGGUGAGGAAUACAUCGGAAUCUACUUUUUCGUGGGGGAUAACGUAGGGAAACUUACGCUAAUACCGCAUACGACCUACGGGUGAAAGCAGGGGAUCUUCGGACCUUGCGCGAUUGAAUGAGCCGAUGUCGGAUUAGCUAGUUGGCGGGGUAAAGGCCCACCAAGGCGACGAUCCGUAGCUGGUCUGAGAGGAUGAUAAGCCACACUGGAACUGAGACACGGUCCAGACUCCUACGGGAGGCAGCAGUGGGGAAUAUUGGACAAGGGGCGCAAGCCUGAUCCAGCCAUACCGCGUGGGUGAAGAAGGCCUUCGGGCUGUAAAGCCCUUUUGUUGGAAAAGAAAAGCAGCAGGUUAAUACCCCGCUGUUCUGACGGUACCCAAAGAAUAAGCACCGGCUAACUUCGU